AGGAGCGCCAGCUCGCACCCGGCUCCAGCCACGCGGCGCCGCCUCCUCCGGUCCUCCCUCCUCUCUCCGCUUCCCGAGGAGCGAGCGCAUCUCUCUCCUUCCCUAAACCCCGCCGCCCCCUGAUUCCUUCCCCUCUUCCCCUCGCUUCCUCCCGGUGCGGGCGGGUCGGAAGCUCAUGAGAUCCCGGCCAUGGCGGGCCCCACCUCGCGGCUCCUCCUCCUCGCCCGCCGCGCCGACCGGUGUAGGAGCCUCCCCCUCCUCCUCCCCCGCGCCGUCCACGCCGCGGCCGCGGCAGUGGCGCCCUCUCCGAAGGCGCCGCCGCCUCGCCUCCCAGCCUCAGCCCCGCUUAGGAGGUACUCAAAUGCAUUCACCAGUGUGCAUGGAGAGAGGCCAUCAUCAGAAUAUGCAAAGAUCAGAAAGGAGUCGCUGGAAACCCAGUUUGGAAGAAUCUUAGGGUCAAGUUCGCGUAGGCUCUUUGCUGACCGAGGCUUUGGUCCAUUCCUUGCGCUUUACAGGGCUGCUACUAUCUCUUUUCAUGUAGUGAAGCUCACUAUUUGGCAUUUAUUGCUGAAUGACAUGCGCAAAAGGGCGGAAAAGUUCCGAGAGACCUUGAUACGCUUGGGUCCUUUUUACAUCAAGCUUGGACAGGCAUUGAGCACACGCCCUGAUAUACUCCCCAGUGCAUACUGCCAAGAGCUUGCAAAGCUACAGGAUCAAAUACCACCAUUUCCAACUCGCAUUGCCCUCAAGACCAUCGAGUCUCAGUUGGGUUCCCGAAUUUCUGAUUUAUUUGCGGAUAUCAGCCCGGAGCCGAUUGCAGCAGCAUCACUGGGUCAAGUUUACAAAGCUCAUCUACGCUCAGGAGAGCUUGUCGCAGUCAAAGUUCAAAGGCCUGGAAUGGCGCCCUUGCUGACUCUAGACGCACUUUUGUUUCAUAUGAUUGGAGGGCAAUUGAAACGGUUUGCUAAGGCUCGCAAAGAUCUACUGGUGGCAGUGAAUGAGAUUGUCAGGCACAUGUUUGAUGAAAUUGAUUAUGUUUUAGAAGGAAAAAAUGCUGAAAGAUUUGCUACUCUUUAUUCUCAUGGUGGGGAUACUUCUGAAGGCAGUACAAGUAUCAAGGUUCCCAAAGUAUAUUGGAAUUAUACACAUAAAACCAUAUUGACACUGGAAUGGAUUGAUGGAAUUAAGCUAACUGAUGCUGAGCGCAUCAGCAAAGCCAACUUGAACAGGAAAAGGAUGAUUGAUGAGGGUCUCUAUUGCUCAUUGAGACAGCUGCUUGAAGAAGGCUUUUUCCAUGCAGACCCUCAUCCUGGUAAUCUAGUUGCAACUGAAGGUGGAUCUCUAGCAUAUUUUGACUUCGGUAUGAUGGGAGAUAUUCCAAGGCAUUAUCGUGUGGGGCUUAUACAAAUGCUUGUACACUAUGUUAAUCGUGACUCCUUGGGCUUGGCAAACGACUUCCAUUCACUAGGAUUUGUCCCUGAGGGAACAGAUUUACAUGCUGUUGCAGAUGCAUUGCGGCUUUCUUUUGGUGACGUCAGGAGGCAAUCAAAUGAUUUUCAGGGCGUAAUGUACCAUCUGUAUGAUGUCAUGUAUGAAUUCAACUUCUCUCUCCCUCCUGAUUAUGCACUGGUGAUAAGAGCUCUGGGUUCUCUAGAAGGGACUGCAAAAGCACUGGAUCCUGAUUUUAAGGUUAUCGAGAGUGCAUACCCAUUUGUCAUUGGGAGGCUCCUUGCAGACCCCAGCCCAGAUAUGAGGAAAAUAUUGAGGGAGCUUCUUAUAUGCGAUGAUGGGUCCAUCCGAUGGAAUCGGCUGGAGAGGCUGAUUGCAGCUAUAUCUGCACAAUCUGCAGAGUCUUCAAAUGCAUCUGGAGCUGGCUCUGCUGAGAAUGCCAAUGGAAGUUCUGAGUGGAGAUCAUUUGAUAUGCAUUCUGUAGUUGCAGCUACAGAAGACCUUUUUGACUUCAUUUUAUCGAGGAAAGGAUGGCGGGUUCGUGUUUUCCUUGUUCAGGACAUCAUUAAAGCUUCAGACGCAUUCCUCCAAGAAGCAACAUUCCCAUAUAUAUUUGACAAUGAGGGAAAGAUGGGAGAGCUAAAUCCAGAGUUCCAGGCAUGCGAAUGGUUUAACUCUCUAUCAGAGGCACUUGCUCUUUAUCCAUUUCCAAUUACCGGAUAUCGGCAACCUAGGACAUUCACCUGCUAUAUUAUGUCCCACGUCUUGAGUUACAUGUUCUACUGAUCUACACAUAACAAGGGCGGAGUUAAUACCUUCAGUAUAGCCUGGGCUUGGUGCGGUGGUAGUGUCUCUUCACUUGUGUUGGAGGUCCUGGGUUCCAACCAGCCUCUCUGCAAUUUUUCAACGAGAAGCAAGACGAUCAGGAGGCUGGUGAAUGCUGUUCAAUCAUUCCGUCAAGCCAUCAAUUUAGCUCCAGAUGCUUGGAGUGCCAUGCUAAUCCGUACCUUGUUGAAACCUGAAUCACAAAAAUUUGUUCUUGAUGU